rfam:Myotis lucifugus cont2.53205, whole genome shotgun sequence.
GCCCGUGUGGUUCAAUGGAUAGAGUGUCAGCCUGCAGAAUGAAGGGUCCUGGGUUCAGUUCCCAUCAUGGGCA